rnacentral:rRNA from 1 species
GACGUAGGGGGCGAGCGUUGUCCGGAAUCAUUGGGCGUAAAGAGCACGUAGGCGGCCUGUUAAGUCGGAUGUGAAAACCCGCGGCUCAACUGCGGGACUGCAUCUGAUACUGGCAGGCUAGAGUCCAGUAGAGGAAAGUGGAAUUCCCAGUGUAGCGGUGAAAUGCGCAGAUAUUGGGAAGAACACCGGUGGCGAAGGCGGCUUUCUGGGCUGAGACUGACGCUGAGGUGCGAAAGCUAGGGGAG